AAGAGAGGUCUGGGACACAAAGAACUGCUAAUUCUUCUUACCGUGGU
rnacentral:tRNA from 1 species